rnacentral:rRNA from 1 species
UACGUAGGGGGCAAGCGUUGUCCGGAAUCAUUGGGCGUAAAGCGCGUGUAGGCGGCCCGGUAAGUCCGCUGUGAAAGUCGGGGGCUCAACCCUCGGAUGCCGGUGGAUACUGUCGGGCUUGAGUACGGAAGAGGCGAGUGGAAUUCCUGGUGUAGCGGUGAAAUGCGCAGAUAUCAGGAGGAACACCAAUUGCGAAGGCAGCUCGCUGGGACGUUACGGACGCUGAGACGCGAAAGCGUGGGGAGCAAACAGG